AACAGACACACCAACUCACAGUAUUACUGUUUAUACUGUUUUUAUUAAUGUAUCAUUUUCAAAUGUUCGCUAUGGUACUUUUAAUUAUCAAUUGUAUAUAAAUACACUAAUCGAAGUGACACAUGAACCCACAGCAAGUCCUAAUAGACAAACCAUGAUAUACAGUCUCAGCGAACCUCAGGACGACAGAUAGACCGCUGAAAAGAUC